CAGCCGCCACGGGAAUACGUAGGUGGCAAGCGUUGUCCGGAAUUAUUGGGCGUAAAGGGCCCGCAGGCGGUUUCUUAAGUCUGAUGUGAAAGCCCCCGGCUCAACCGGGGAGGGUCAUUGGAAACUGGGAAACUUGAGUGCAGAAGAGGAGAGUGGAAUUCCACGUGUAGCGGUGAAAUGCGUAGAGAUGUGGAGGAACACCAGUGGCGAAGGCGACUCUCUGGUCUGUAACUGACGCUGAGGAGCGAAAGCGUGGGGAGCGAACAGGAUUAGAUACCCGUGUAGUCCCUGUCUCUUAUAC
rnacentral:rRNA from 1 species